GGGAGGAAGAGAGAGAGAGAGAGAGAGAGAAGGCUGAGCUGGGGAGGAGAGAUGACAACAUCAAGAAGAAUAAGAACUAGCAUGUCUGUUUCAGGUUGACAAAGGGCUUCCCCCACCACUGUCCGGUAGGGGAAGGAAGUCAGAUCGUCCCCAUUUUUACAGCCUCUUCCCUCGAGCUCCCAGGAGGCUCGCUGCUCAUUCCCACAGCCCCGAAUGGGAUAGAAACCAUCUCAAAGGGGAAUGGAGAGGCGGCCAGAAGGGUGACACUGGUCCUGGGCUUCAAGAGGAGACACCCUGGAGAAAAGGGACCAGGAUCCAAGAAAGGCCCUGCUCCGGACUCAAGGGCAGCAGGCGAGCCCUCUCCCCAGGACUCUUUCUCCUUCAGGAUCCACAUCUGGCAGGCUCUUUGCCCACCUUCCUCAGAACUGGCCAAGCCUCCACCACUUACUAGCUCUAUGGGCUGGGAGACUUCCCUUUUCCAAACCCGGCUUUCCUCAUCUGGUUUUCUGCACUCUGGACAGUGGCUACAAGGCUCAAAUGGGAUGACUCUGGAGAUUUGUAUCCAUAAAAAACUGUGGGAACGUGCCUUGAAAUCCUACCAAAGAUGAAGCAGGGAAGAGAAGAAGGCCCUCACCAGCUGAAAGACAGCCCUGGAGCUGCUUCUCCCCCAGACCCCUGGGGGACCCCCAGGGAAACUGAGUCCUAUAGGGAAGUCUUGAUGGGAAGCCCAUUUGUGAAGGGAGGGAGGGGGUUAAAUGCUGGUUCCUGGAUCAGCCAUUAACUAAUUGUGUGACCUUGGUCAAGUCCCUUCUCUCUGAGCCUCAGUUUACUCAUCUAUAAAAUGAGAAUUUGGCUAGGUAUACUCUAAGUGCCCUCUCAGCUUUGAGAGCCAAUGUUUUGGGGGGCAGCUAGAUGGUGCAGUGGUUAAAGCACCGGCCCUGGAUUCAGGAGUACCUGAGUUCAAAUCCGGCCUCAGACAUUUGACACUUACUAGCUGUGUGACCCUGGGCAAGUCACUUAACCCCCUAUUGCCUGCAAAAAAAGAAGAAAAAAAAAAAGAGAGCCAAUGUUUUAAGGGCCCUCCCAGCUCUAACAUCCUGGGUUCUAAGGCCUUUCCCAGCUCUGAAAGUUCAUGUUCUUCAGGCCCUUCCCACUCUGACAUCUUGGGUUCUAAGGACCCUCCCAACUCUAACAUCCUGGGUUCUAAGGGCACCCCCCACCAACAUCUCUGACAUCCUGGGUUCUAAAGCCCCUCCCAGCUCUGACAAUCUAUGUUCUAAGGGCCCUCCCAACUCUGACAUCCUGGGCUCUAAGGUCCUUCCCAGCUCUGACAUCUUGGGUUCUAAGAGCCCUCCCAGCUCUGAUAUUUCAUGUUCUGAGGGCCCUCCUUCCUCUGAUAUUCUAAGAGAAUGGACUAACUCUUAGGGCCUUGUCCUUCCCUUCCCACUCUAAUCUCCAAUUUAGGGAAUGGCUUUCAGCAUAUCACAUUACUCCUCCACCCCCUUUCAUGUGCCCCCAGCACCCCCUGACCAGGGGAGAGGCAUGAAUUUAACAUAAGUGCUUUAAGAUCUUCAGAUGUCCAGGAAACUGAGGAAAGUUAAGUAAUACAUCAGGGAAGUAAAG